rnacentral:rRNA from 1 species
GGGUGAGUAACACGUGAGUAACCUGCCCUUAACUCUGGGAUAAGCCUGGGAAACUGGGUCUAAUACCGGAUAUGACUCCUCAUCGCAUGGUGGGGGGUGGAAAGCUUUAUUGUGGUUUUGGAUGGACUCGCGGCCUAUCAGCUUGUUGGUGAGGUAAUGGCUCACCAAGGCGACGACGGGUAGCCGGCCUGAGAGGGUGACCGGCCACACUGGGUCUGAGACACGGCCCAGACUCCUACGGGAGGCAGCAGUGGGGAAUAUUGCACAAUGGGCGAAAGCCUGAUGCAGCGACGCCGCGUGAGGGAUGACGGCCUUCGGGUUGUAAACCUCUUUCAGUAGGGAAGAAGCGAAAGUGACGGUACCUGCAGAAGAAGCGCCGGCUAACUACGUGCCAGCAGCCGCGGUAAUACGUAGGGCGCAAGCGUUAUCCGGAAUUAUUGGGCGUAAAGAGCUCGUAGGCGGUUUGUCGCGUCUGCCGUGAAAGUCCGGGGCUCAACUCCGGAUCUGCGGUGGGUACGGGCAGACUAGAGUGAUGUAGGGGAGACUGGAAUUCCUGGUGUAGCGGUGAAAUGCGCAGAUAUCAGGAGGAACACCGAUGGCGAAGGCAGGUCUCUGGGCAUUAACUGACGCUGAGGAGCGAAAGCAUGGGGAGCGAACAGGAUUAGAUACCCUGGUAGUCCAUGCCGUAAACGUUGGGCACUAGGUGUGGGGGACAUUCCACGUUUUCCGUACCGUAGCUAACGCAUUAAGUGCCCCGCCUGGGGAGUACGGCCGCAAGGCUAAAACUCAAAGGAAUUGACGGGGGCCCGCACAAGCGGCGGAGCAUGCGGAUUAAUUCGAUGCAACGCGAAGAA